rnacentral:rRNA from 1 species
GCGUGGGUGAUAAGGUCUUCGGAUUGUAAAGCCCUUUUGGCGGGGACGAUGAUGACGGUACCCGCAGAAUAAGCUCCGGCUAACUUCGUGCCAGCAGCCGCGGUAAUACGAAGGGGGCUAGCGUUGUUCGGAAUUACUGGGCGUAAAGCGUGCGCAGGCGGCGCGCCAAGUCAGAGGUGAAAUCCUGGGGCUCAACCCCAGAACUGCCUUUGAGACUGGCGUGCUGGAGUGCGGGAGAGGUGAGUGGAAUUCCCAGUGUAGAGGUGAAAUUCGU